UACGUAGGCAGCAAGCGUUGUUCGGAAUUACUGGGCGUAAAGAGUGUGUAGGCGGUGUUCCAAGUCUGUUGUGAAAUCUCCCGGCUUAACUGGGAGGGUGCGGCGGAAACUGGGAUGCUAGAGGAUGGGAGAGGUAAGCGGAAUUCCUGGUGUAGCGGUGAAAUGCGUAGAUAUCAGGAGGAACACCUGUGGCGAAAGCGGCUCACUGGACCACAACUGACGCUGAGGCGCGAAAGCUAGGGGAGCAAACAGG
rnacentral:rRNA from 1 species